GGAACAGAUGUAAUGAUCUCUGUAUCACACAAUGCCGGUUGCUUAGAAACAUACUCCAAAGAUUAGUGGAUGCUCUUUUUGUCCAUACUCCUAAUUUCUGAGUCUUUUACACUUGUCUAUUUAAUUAAAGAAAGGAUAUGUAAAAUUUACAUCUGUUCAGACAUUGCUUCUUUUCUGAGUGCUUUUCAGGGAAGUGCUAAAGAAUUUAGAGAACCUAGGGCAUUGUUUCAUUGGUUGUCAGAGCAUUCCUGAGAGGUUGAACACAUUUGGUAGUGAGUACUGCCCAUAUCAGUGUUGUAGCUGAGGAAAUCAAAUCAAAGAAUUGGAGUAGAGACCAACAUUUGGAACAGUGAUCCCUUUGUUUCAGCCUAGGAGACUAUCUCGACUGAAAUAACAGAAACAUUUCUGAUUUUUGAAAGUAUAAGCUGAAGAACUGAAAAGAUGAGAACUCCUACAUUGCCUAGGAGUUAGAAUCAGAGAUAAUGACACAACUGGAAAACCAAGAUGAAAACAUAUGAGACUGAUAUUCUCAAAGUAUAAUCUUGAAAAAGAAGUGAGUCAAGCACAUGCAUGGUCAGGCAACGUACUGAUGCAGCGGACCUCUGGUGUUCUGGCUGGCCAGAGUCACCUUUUCCUUAUUCUGGUAGGCAUACCUUUGGUUUCCUGGGAGGAAUCACAUCUCUUAACCUCAGUGUACACUGAGAUUGGGCACACUCCAGCACCUGAAGGAGACAUGUAACCCAAGCUUUUGCCAUGAACAUAUUUCCUCUCUUUGGUCACAAUGAUCAUCUCAGGAGCAGGCACAAGACUCCACUCUGGUCAGUAAUAAUCAGACCCAGAAGCUCUUGGCUGAGCUGCACAUGAACCCAGGAGGGUGUAAGACCGAAGGUGCUGGGGGCUAUCCUAAGAAAAGGAUCCCUCCAAGAGUUAAGCCAACAAAAGGGAGACCCAAGUGGACAAGACAAACAGGACAGAGGAGCAAAGGACUAGAUAAGCAAAAGCAAGGACUGACUUUCCGGAGAAUCUGCCUAACUUCCACUUCACAUUUAAGAUGCCAAAAUAGUUCCUCAACAAAAUUCUUGCAAGGCUGCUACUGCUUUAUGGAAAGGUUCAGAACCAUACCUGGAAGGUUAUCCAAAGACUCCAAUGAGCAUAUCUUCUCCAGACAGCAUUUUGCACUUGCAUAUGAGCUGCAGCCUUUCCAAAAGUUGGGGAAAUCCUGCAAAGAAGGAACAUGGCAUCUGAUUCUUGGAAUAACAUUCUCUCUACACUCUUCCAGCUGCUGUGGAUACAUAUAAUGACUGAUUUUAUUUAAUAAGAAAGCUCAAAAUGUUUCCCAAUUCAAAACAUAACCCUGCAUGCUGUUCCCUCUAGUCUAACCAGAAAUCCCAUUCUCCUCCUCCUGUAACUCAAUAAACCAAAUCUAACUGGAGAAUAAUUAUAAAAUACACUGAUGUGCAAUUUGUUUCACUUGCUCAAUAAUUAAUUAAUACACUACUUACGGUUCAGAAGAGCUCUUAAG
rnacentral:lncRNA from 1 species